UGAGGGCAUUGGUUGGUGUAACCC
rnacentral:siRNA from 1 species